rnacentral:rRNA from 1 species
UACGAAGGGGGCUAGCGUUGCUCGGAAUCACCGGGCGUAAAGCGCACGUAGGCGGCUUUUUAAGUCAGAGGUGAAAUCCUGGAGCUCAACUCCAGAACUGCCUUUGAUACUGAAGAUCUUGAGUUCGGGAGAGGUGAGUGGAACUGCGAGUGUAGAGGUGAAAUUCGUAGAUAUUCGCAAGAACACCAGUGGCGAAGGCGGCUCACUGGCCCGAUACUGACGCUGAGGCACGAAAGCGUGGGGAGCAAACAGG